rnacentral:rRNA from 1 species
GUCUACGGCCAUGGCGCCCUGAAUAAGCCUGAUGUCUGAUCUCCAAAACUAAGCAGGAUCGGGCCUGCUUAGUAUUUGGAUGGGAGACCACCUAGGAAGAUGAGGUGCUGUAGGCA